rnacentral:misc_RNA from 1 species
AAACGACUGUGAUGAUAAAAUCGGUGGAAAAUAGUGAUGGUUGGUGAGAUGGGGUUUCAAGAUUCUUGAUAAUUAAGCUAUAGAAUGAACAGAAAGUAUGAUUUUUAACAGAAAAUUUCAGUCACCUAGUUGUUUUCAUGAAUUGGGGUUUUCGCUAAUUGGUUCAAAAUCAAGAAUUUAGCUGAGAUUUCAACGAAUUGAAGUGACCUACAUCCAAUUAGCGAAAACCCCAUUUCAGUCACCUAGUUGUUU